rnacentral:rRNA from 1 species
UACAGAGGUGGCAAGCGUUGUUCGGAAUUACUGGGCGUAAAGGGCGCGUAGGCGGCCUACUAAGUCAGACGUGAAAUCCCCCGGCUUAACCUGGGAACUGCGUCUGAUACUGGAAGGCUUGAGGAUGGGAGAGGGAUGUAGAAUUCCAGGUGUAGCGGUGAAAUGCGUAGAUAUCUGGAGGAGUACCGGUGGCGAAGGCGGCAUCCUGGACCAUUACUGACGCUGAGGCGCGAAAGCUAGGGGAGCAAACGGG